ACGGAAUAGAUACCCUGGUAGUCCACGCCGUAAACGGUGGGCACUAGGUGUGGGAUCCAUUCCACGGAUUCCGUGCCGAAAGCUAAACGCAUUAAGUGCCCCGCCUGGGGAGUACGGCCGCAAGGCUAAAACUCAAAGGAAUUGACGGGGGCCCGGCACAAGCGGCGGAGCAUGCGGAUUAAAUUCGAUGCAACGCGAAGAACCUUACCUGGGUUUGACAUAUACCGGAAACAUCUGGAGACAGGUGCCCCGCAAGGUCGGUAUACAGGUGGUGCAUGGCUGUCGUCAGCUCGUGUCGUGAGAUGUUGGGUUAAGUCCCGCAACGAGCGCAACCCUCGUUCUAUGUUGCCAGCGGUUCGGCCGGGAACUCAUAGAAGACUGCCGGGGUCAACUCGGAGGAAGGUGGGGAUGACGUC
rnacentral:rRNA from 1 species